AUUGAACGCUGGCGGCAUGCCUUACACAUGCAAGUCGAACGGCAGCACGGGUGCUUGCACCUGGUGGCGAGUGGCGAACGGGUGAGUAAUACAUCGGAACGUACCUUAUCGUGGGGAUAACGCAGCGAAAGCUGUGCUAAUACCGCAUACGCCCUGAGGGGGAAAGCGGGGGAUCGCAAGACCUCGCGCGAUUAGAGCGGCCGAUGCCUGAUUAGCUUGGUGGUAGGGUAAAAGCCCACCAAGGCGACGAUCAUUAGCUGGUCUGAGAGGACGAUCAGCCACACUGGGACUGAGACACGGCCCAGACUCCUACGGGAGGCAGCAGUGGGGAAUUUUGGACAAUGGGGGCAACCCUGAUCCAGCAAUGCCGCGUGAGUGAAGAAGGCCUUCGGGUUGUAAAGCUCUUUUGUCAGGGAAGAAACACCGGCUCUAACACAGUCUGGGAAUGACGGUACCUGAAGAAUAAGCACCGGCUAACUACGUGCCAGCCGCCGCGGUAA
rnacentral:rRNA from 1 species